GUUGGGGGCCUGCAAGGGGAGUACCAAGUCUGCAAUGGCUAUGGCGCAGAGAAAGCUGCAGUGGUCAUGAGGAACCAUUGGAACACAUACAUCGUCGAAGACGACUUCAGCUUCAUGGCGGCAAAUGGGCUAAACGCAGUAAGGAUCCCGGUGGGAUGGUGGAUCGCCAGCGGCGAUAAUCCUCCGGCUCCGUACAUUGGAGGCUCUCUCCAAGCCUUGGACAAUGCUUUCAGAUGGGCAGAGGCACACAAGCUGGGCAUGAUCAUAGACUUGCAUGCAGCUCCUGGGGGGCAGAGCCCCAAUGAGCACUGCUCUACAAAGGACGGCACACAGAGCUGGGGAACCACCGACUCUAACAUCGUGCAAACUGUGUAAGUGAUCGAUUUCCUCGCAGCUAGGUAUGCUAGGCGACUAGGUCUCCUCGCGGUGGAGCUGAUGAACGAACCGCCGGCUCCUGAUGUGUCCCUGGAUAGCCUGAAAAGGUACUACCGAGACGCGUACAACACAGUCAGGAAGCACUUGCUUACGACCUAUGUGAUCAUGUCGAACCGUCUGGCGGCACCUUCGACCGAGCUCCUCGACUUUGCUGGAAUGUUCCCGAGAUAUGUCAUUGACGUGCACUACUACACACUGUUCGACAACAAGUUUAAUACUUUCACUGUGCAGCAGAACAUUGAUUACGUGAGGAACACCAUUGCCAAUGAUCUCAGGACUCUCUCAAGGAGAAUUGGCGCUCUCACAUUUGUUGGUGAAUGGGUAGCUGAGUGGAAGGUAUCCGGUGCAAUGAAGGAAGAUUACCAGAGGUUCGGGAAUGCACAAAUGGAUGUGUAUUGGCAAGCCACCUUUGGAUGGGCUUACUGGACCUACAAGAACGUUAACAACCACUGGAGUAUGGAGUGGAUGAUAAAGAAUGGAUAUAUAUCCUUUACAAAUGCUUGA
rnacentral:rRNA from 1 species